GAUGAAGAACGCAGCGAAAUGCGAUAAGUAAUGCGAAUUGCAGAAUUCAGUGAGUCAUCGAAUCUUUGAACGCACAUUGCGCCCUGUGGUAUUCCGCAGGGCAUGCCUGUUCGAGCGUCAUUUCAACCCUCAAGCCCCGCUUGGUGUUGGGCCCCGCCCGCCGUGGCCGGCCCUAAAGACAGUGGCGGCGCCGCCUGGCCCUCAGCGUAGUACAGCUCUCGCUCCAGGGUCCGGCGGCCGCCUGCCAGAACCCCCCCAACUCUGUGGUUGACCUCGGAUCAGGUAGGGAUACCCGCUGAACUUAAGCAUAUCAAUAAGCGAGG
rnacentral:misc_RNA from 1 species